rfam:Oikopleura dioica, whole genome shotgun assembly, reference scaffold set, scaffold scaffold_60
GCGAGUUUGUCCGAGUGGUUAAGGAGUCUGACUCGAAAUCAGAUGGGCUCUGCCCGCGCAGGUUCGAAUCCUGUAGCUCGCG